UACGUAGGGUGCGAGCGUUGUCCGGAAUUACUGGGCGUAAAGGGCUCGUAGGCGGCCAACUAAGUCAGACGUGAAAUCCCUCGGCUUAACCGGGGAACUGCGUCUGAUACUGGAUGGCUUGAGUUUGGGAGAGGGAUGCGGAAUUCCAGGUGUAGCGGUGAAAUGCGUAGAUAUCUGCAGGAACACCCGUGGCGAAGGCGGCUGGCUGGAUCGCAACUGACGCUGAGGAACGAAAGCUAGGGGAGCAAACAGG
rnacentral:rRNA from 1 species